rnacentral:misc_RNA from 1 species
CGCCUCUGAAAUUAGUAAAAUUACAACUUAACCCUUCUCCCCCAUCCGCCGAAUCCAUCCCAGGACAUUGCAAUUUACACAAGCGCACACACCGUCCUCCCGAUCCCUAGCCAGGCUAAAAGGUUUUUUUCCCAAAUUGAAAACCUCAAACCCUUAGCUGUUAGCACUCGAACCUAAUUUCCCAAGACGUAGGAGUGGUGGAGAGAGAUGGAUCAACACGAAGAGCAAGAGCAUGACGUUUAUGGAAGUGAAAUCCCUGACGAGGGAGAGAUAGACGCCGAUAUCGACAUGUCUUCGAGGCCUGAAGAAGAUGAGGACCACGGCCCUAACUCCAAGGAUUUGGAGGACAUGAAGAAGAGACUGAAGGAGAUCGAAGAAGAAGCUGGCGCUCUCCGCGAAAUGCAGGCUAAAGUUGAGAAGGAGAUGGGAGCUGUCCAAGGCAUCUCUCUCUAUAUAUUUGCUUGUGUAUUAAACUCUUACUGUUUAAUUUGAUUGAGCUAGUAGGUUCUUUUAUUUUAGUUAUGCGUGGAUCUCUAGGUCAAAUUUUAUCUUGCUGGAAAUAAACUGAGAUAUGGUCACAGGCAUUCGGUUUUAGAUAAGUGUGUGAAGGUAUCAGUUGGUUAAUUUAAGCUGAUAAUGGAUUGAAAUUGGACAAUUUUUGAAUUUUUACUUUUGUGUAACUAAUAAAAGACUACUAGCAGGUCCAUAGUAAGCAAACAAGCUCAUUUAGGGCUGUACUAUUAAUGCUUCCAUUGCUAGUUUCUAUUUCUGAUAAAAUUGUCAUCUUCUGUCUCCAUAUAUCCAUUAUUUUUUGUAAAUUUUGGUGUAAUUGUUAACUUGCCUAAGUUUUGGCAUGUAAUUCACAUUACCUCUUCUUGUUUGUUUUGAAAUUUUAGUUCUGCACGAUGCAAAGCUUUAUUUCACAGUUAGUCUUAUUAUCACUUUCUUUUUCCCCUUUUUGACUUGUUUAAAGAUUCCUCAAGUGCUUCUGCGACUCAGGCUGAAAAGGAGGAGGUGGAUUCCCGCUCUAUUUAUGUUGGUAAUGUGAGGGUUAACUAUCCUUUUCUCUCAGCAUUAUUUUAAAAUUAUUUUGAUGAGUUCUGUCUUUGCUGUGUAGAUAUAAUGAUUGUUCUUUAUAGUUGUUAAUAAUAUGUGGGCUUUACUGAUAUUUGCAAGAACCAUUUUAUUGAUGAUAUCUAUCUAUUCUGAAAUUGAAUUUAUCCUCAUGAAUUUCAACAUAUCAGUUCAGCUGCUCAACUAAUGCUGCUUUGUGUUUUCGUUUCUGGCCAAAUCUCCCUGUCUCUCAAUUGCCUAUGCCUUGUUGCCACAAAAUUCAUCAAUUAUUGAUCUUAAGUGAUGAAUUAAGAAGGGAAAUACAUUGGCAGGAACUAUUAGUUUGUUUGCUGCAUAUUCUAUUUGUUUUGGGUUGCUUUGGUUUGGAAUUAGUUGUAUUCUUUUUUACAUAUUCUGAUGUUUCAACAAGUGUGAUAUUUACUCCAGGUAGACUAUACCUGUACUCCUGAAGAAGUGCAGCAGCAUUUUCAAUCCUGUGGAACAGUGAACAGAGUGACAAUUUUGACUGACAAGUUUGGUCAACCCAAAGGAUUUGCUUAUGUUGAAUUUGUUGAGACUGAUGCUGUUCAAAAUGCUCUUUUGUUAAAUGAAUCAGAGCUGCAUGGCCGUCAGUUAAAGGUCUCUGCUAAGAGAACCAACAUUCCUGGAAUGAAGCAAUAUCGAGGAAGGCGCCCCAACCCUUAUGGGUUCAGAUCCCGAAGGCCAUUCAUGCCUGCUCCCCCCUUCUAUCCCCCUUAUGGUUAUGGGUAGGUGUUUAAAUACCUUUACCCCUUUUAGUCACUGGGACAAUGAAGAAAAUAUGUGAACACUUGAUGUCUUCCAUUUCUUUGCUAUUUAAUGAAGUCUACGUAUGUUUCCUUUCAUAUAGAUGGGCGACUAGAUACUAGAUUUUGUAGUUUGAUAGUUGAACUUUUCUUUUAGUGUUUUAAGUUUUUGAUAAAGAUGUGAUUUAAACUUUUCCUCCCAUAAGAGAAUAUAUAUUUAAAAUGCAUUUAAUUGUGAAGAUAAGAUUUUAUAAACAGUAUACUGGAACUUGGGUUGUUGUAUUGAAUUGUGACCUUACCAUAGUUACCUAAUAUGCGGUACUCUUGAAUCUCGAUUCACGGUAUGCGGUACGCCCAUAAAGUCAUAACGCAUUCCAUCGGAGUCCUGAGCCUGUGUCCUUUCAUUUGCCCCUUUUUCUUUCUUUCUCCUUUUGCAUAGCUGCUGCCUGUGCUUCUUUCUUUUCCAUUUUGCUCGCUGUUGCCUAUUUCUUGUUGUUGCUGCCAUGGAACAUGCGGGACCCCUGCCCAAGCAUUUUGGAAUGCCGGAGUAUCUCGUUCUGGUAUGCAAGUACCAGUUCGUGGUUCGAAGGGGUUGCAGUGAAUUAGGUAAGUAUGGUCCUUACUGGCAUCUGAAAAUGGAUAAAAAAAAAAAUUAUUAGUUUGUUUUGGGAUAUUUCAUUUUUUUUAAUGAAUGCUUACGUGUUUUCCUUUUUUAUUCUUCAUGUGCGUUUGAAAUGGCCUUGAUUGCUCAUGGCAAGUCUUUACAUUAGGAGAAGCCCUAGUUUAUAAGUCCCAACAUUGACUGAUUAGUUAGGACAUUUUGUGAGUUGUGGUUGGAUUAGAAGAAUUUUUCCAUAUUUCAUUCGGCUGCAAUAGACCUCUAGGGAAACAUCAGCCUAACAUCCUUUGCAAGCAGUUAUGCAUGGAAAUGUUUUUAAACCUUGUCUGGUGUAUUCUUCUGUAUUUUUGUGUUUUCCCCAUGAUAUUUGGAAUUUCAUCCUAAUCCAUCUUUCUGCUAUUGAUUAUUUUCGAUCAAAUGAUAUUGGUUUUCUUUGGUUCAAGCAGUUUGUUUAUCAACUACACAAUUUGACUGGUCAUAUCUAUAGUUUAAAAGUGGUGAUCCGUUUAUGUUUUCUGCAUAAUUGUUCAAGUUAAUUUAUUCUCAUGUGCAGAAGGGUUCCAAGGUUCAGGCGACCAAUGCGUUACAGACCAUAUUAAUGAGCAGUAGCCAUCAAUUUGAGAAGAUCAUUGGUUCAUGGAUUGGGAUGCUCGUUUUAAUGUUGUGGGUAUAUGAAGGGACAGAAAGACUUUUUAAUCAUUAUAUGCAUGGGGAGGGCCGGUCUGAUUUUUCUCAAAUUAAUAGCACUUGCAGGAGUGCUGGAUUAUUGUGCAACAAACAAAUCUUGCAUUUACUUGCUUUACAGGGGCUAAAGGGGGCGCCAAAUGUGCAAAUGUUGUGGAA